GAUGAACGCUGGCGGCGUGCCUAAUACAUGCAAGUCGAGCGAACGGACGAGAAGCUUGCUUCUCUGAUGUUAGCGGCGGACGGGUGAGUAACACGUGGAUAACCUACCUAUAAGACUGGGAUAACUUCGGGAAACCGGAGCUAAUACCGGAUGAUAUUUUGAACCGCAUGGUUCAAAAGUGAAAGACGGUCUUGCUGUCACUUAUAGAUGGAUCCGCGCUGCAUUAGCUAGUUGGUAAGGUAACAGCUUACCAAGGCAACGAUGCAUAGCCGACCUGAGAGGGUGAUCGGCCACACUGGAACUGAGACACGGUCCAGACUCCUACGGGAGGCAGCAGUAGGGAACCUUCCGCAAUGGGCGAAAGCCUGACGGAGCAACGCCGCGUGAGUGAUGAAGGUCUUCGGAUCGUAAAACUCUGUUAUUAGGGAAGAACAUAUGUGUAAGUAACUGUGCACAUCUUGACGGUACCUAAUCAGAAAGCCACGGCUAACUACGUG
rnacentral:rRNA from 1 species